UCCGGCAAUUUAUUGCCGGGCUAUUCUCAAUCGUCCCUUCGGGACA
rnacentral:sRNA from 1 species